rnacentral:rRNA from 1 species
AACGAACGCUGGCGGCGCGCCUAACACAUGCAAGUCGAACGAGAAGGCGUAGCAAUACGCUUGUAGAGUGGCGAACGGGUGAGUAAUACGUGGGUGACCUACCCUCGAGUGGGGAAUAACCCGCCGAAAGGCGGGCUAAUGCCGCGUACGCUUCCGUCCUCACGGGGACGGAAGGAAAGCUGUACCGUGGGUACGGCGCUCAAGGAUGGGCUCACGUCCUAUCAGCUUGUUGGUAGGGUAACGGCCUACCAAGGCUACGACGGGUAGCUGGUCUGAGAGGACGAUCAGCCACACUGGCACUGCGACACGGGCCAGACUCCUACGGGAGGCAGCAGUGAGGAAUAUUGCGCAAUGGGCGAAAGCCUGACGCAGCGACGCCGC